rnacentral:lncRNA from 1 species
UCUAUCCUUCAACCAUAAAAUAAUUCAUCUCUCUUCUUUCUCUCCUCUUUAGAGUAAUCCCAACCUUCUUCUUUUUUUCUCUUUUUGCUCUUCUCUUUCGCAUGAGGUUCCUUUCAAAUAUCAACAAAUAUAUAUCUUUUCUUAUCUAAAAUUAGUGUUUUGAUCCCUUCGCUUUUGACAUGGCAGGUAUGAUUCACUAUUAGAUCUGCGCUCUCUACUAUUAUUCUUUCCUUCUCAUCUUCUUAUUUGCCUAUUUCAUAAAAUUUUUCAUGUUUUAUUUGAUGAAAAUUGAAAUUGUGCACAUCAUAUUUUUACAUUGGUUAUUUAAAUUAGUUAUUUAUAUUUGUUGUUUUUAUUUAUUUAUUUAUUUAUUACCCAUAUCUUAUUUAUUGAAUGAACGAACCAUUGUUUUUAUUAAGCAAUCAAAAAAGUCUUCCAAUAUAUGGCCUAUCUGUUGCAAUAAAUUGGUCAUUUAUUGGGAGAACUUAAAAUGGCUUGUUGGCAGUAUCGGUGUUGUUUGUUUGUUUCUUUAUUAUUGAUGCUAUUGUUGAUAUUGUUGUUGUUGUUGGUGAUGUUAUAAUUGGUGGUGUUGGUGUUACAAUAGGUGGAAUAUAUGAUGGAAGAUAUUAAAAUAGGUCUUCCAAUAGAAUUACCAUCUGCUACAAUAGAUGAAUCAACUGUUAGAAUAGCUUAAAAUAGCUCUUCUAAUAGAUGACCCAUUUGUUGCAACAUAUUGGUUAUUUUUUACAAUAGAUGGAUCAUCUAUGGCAACAUAUGGGUUAUCUAUUAAAAUUCUUGUUGUAAUAUGUUGUAUUUAUUAAAUAUUUGUGUUACCCUUUUUCAAUAUUAUGCAGACAUCAAUUGUAAUGUUCUUUUUGCUUUUCUCUUAUUUGUAGAUAAAAUAUGUCUUCCAAAAAGAAAAGGAAGUGAAAGUGGAUCAACUUUUGCCCAACCAACAUAAAAGGCUAGAGUAGAGAUAGGUUCGAAGGAAUAAGCUGCUUGUAGAUGGAACCACUACAUAUGUGAGAGGUAUGUAUUACUAAUCAUGUUAUCGUGAAAACACACAUAAAUUACACUAAUUUUGUUAAUAUUAUUUUUUACCGAUUAGGGAUUGAUCAUUCAAAAAUGAUAUUGUAUUUUAUAGUUAAGUUUGAUAGGUCCAAACUGAUAAGGCUGAGGGACCAGGAAGGUGGUGCCAAUACCCUAUUUCGAUUUAAUAAUGGUUUUUCUAAUGUUAUGUGUUAAGUUUUGAGAAGGCAUCAUAUUUAUGGUGAUAAUGUAGAGAUUCAAUAGUGAUUGGACUGAUUUUAAGGGUUCAAUGGACUUUUGAAAGGCCUCCGAAGCAUUGCACUACUGCAAACAAAAAUGAAAAUUAAUAUAGUUAUUGUCUUUGUCUAAAUUUAUAUGGGUGAGUUGAUCGGGGUGAUGAUUAUACAACAGAAGGUGCUUAGGAGAAUAUCUGUGAGGGAAAGGGGAGGUGCUGAAAACUAUAUCAACUCAGACCUUAUUAAACAAGAAACAUAGGGUAGCAAAGAAUGUGUAGCGAAUCUGGCCAAUGAAAUUGACAUGAAAAAUGAAAAAACUGAAUGAUCUAAAAAAUAAAAGUGUGUCAAAAAAUAAAAAUCCAUCACCCAUUGUUGAAAAGAAAAAUGGUGAAGAGGACUGGAGCUGUGCACUUUUCGAGGUAACUGUUACUAGUUAGCGUGGUUUGAAUAAUCACCUCCAAAGAAAGGAAUAGAACUCCAAUGAAGUAGCUUUGUGAGCAUCGAGGGUUAUAAAGACGUACAACUAGAAUAAAACUUGAACCAAGAACCUUUGAAGUAAAAAUAAGAGAUCAAGCCAAGGCGGUAAUUUCUAAAGUUAAACUUGCAUCCUAGGCCUUCUCUUUGUGGAUCUGGUUACGUCAAUUGCAGUGGAUACAAAAAGACAUGGGAUUUCUGCCCAACUUCAAACCAUUUUAUUUCCACUGCCACUGACCUGAUCAGACCACAAACAGAAGGCAUGGGAUGCAAGUUAGAAUUUAAAAAUUACCAACUUGGCUUGAUCCCUUAUUUUAACUUUAGCAGUUCUUGGUUUAAGUUUCAUUCUUGAUUGUACAUCUUUCCAACCCUCAGUGCUCACAAAGUUAUUUCCUAGGAUUUUUAUUUCAUUAUUUGGAGGUGAUCAUUUAGGCCACACUAACUAGUUUCAGUUACCUAAAAAAGUGUCUAGCUACAGUCCACUUUACCAUUUUUCUUUUCAAAGACAACUGACGAAUUUUCAUUUUGAAAUACACUUUCAUAUUUGUAGCUCAUUCUGAUUUUUCAUCUUUCAAGUUAAUAUUAUUGGUCAAAUUGGCUAGAAGUUCAUUGCUUGCUACCACAUGUUUAUUCCUUAAUAAGGUUUGAGAUGAUAUAAUCUUUAGCAACUCCCCUUUACCGCGCAUAUAUUCUCCUACAAUAUGUUCUGCUGUGUAAUCGUCUUCUCGAGCAACCCAUCCAUAUAAAUUUGGACCAAGGGAAUUUCUAUUGGUUUUGCAUUCUUGUUUACUACACUAGGAUCCUUUGAAGGCCUUCUUAAACUCCAUUACACUAUUAAAACUAGUGCAAUCACUAUUGAGUCUCUAUAAUGCCAUCAAAUAUUGAUCCUUUCUCAAAACUUGACGCAUAAAUAUGAGCAAAACUGUUAUUAAAUUAUAACAGGGUAUCGACACAUCUUAUUGGACCCUUUGGCCUUAUCAGUUUACUCUUAUCAAACUUAACUGUAAGAUGCAAGAUCUUGUUUGAAGGAUCAAUGCCUAAUCGAUAAAAAACUGCAUUCACAAAAUAAUUGUACUUUAUAUGUGUUGUCACGAUAACCUGACCAGUAAUACAUAACUCCUACGCAUGAAAAUAGAUCCAUCCAUCUGCACACCCAUUAUUCUUCCUACCCCAUCAAUGUCAAAUAGUGUUUAAUCUUCAGUUCCCAUCGCGAAGUAGUGUAUAAAACUACAGAGGCUCAAAGGAUAACCAUAUUAAAAACCUUUCUUCUUAAUCUUCUGGGAAGGGUAACAACAAUCUCGAAAACUAAAAACCUAAUAGAGAGAAACCCUUGCUACUACUGGAUUGAGUUAUUCCAAUAGAUGACCCAUCUGUUACAACAAAUGAAAAAUCUAUUGGACUACAUGCCCGUAAAAAAAAAGUGCCCCAUGUGUAAUGCACCAUGAUAUUUGUAAUAGUAAACUUAGUUUGUUGAUUGUUAUGGACUUUGAUAAUUUUAACUCAUUGUUGAGGAUGUAAAUGUUAUUAUUUAUUACAUAAAAUAUAUUUUUAUUAACUUGUGCAUUGAUAAAAAGAGGUAAGGUAGGUAAUAUGAAUUAGAUACAAUAGACUACAAAAAAUAUUUUCCGCAGAUUACCAAUUUGUUGCAAUAGAUGGAGAUUUGCUAGAACACAAUACAACUCAUCAAUCUGGAUUGCUUUCAACUAACAGAUGAUCAAUACGUUGCAAUAGAUGGGCAAUAUGUUGGAAAAACUCAAAACCCUUGCUGAUGGAGUAUCUUCUUCCAAUAGAUGACACAUUUAUUGCAAUAGAUCAACUGGAAGAACAUAAUACAGUUCUUGCCACUGGUUUGUGUUUUUUCAACAGAUGACAAAUCUAUUUCUACAUAUGAUCUAUCUGUUGAAAAAACUAACUGAAAUGAUAAUUAAUAAAAAAUGGUUAUUGAAAAGGUGAAAAGUCAUGACAUUUUAAUUAUUUAAUAAAGAAAAUGGGUUCGUAAAUAAAUAAUAUGGAAAUAAAUGAUAAACACAAUUUAAAACCAUAAUAAAAUAGUUAUUUAAUUUUAAUAACUAAUGUUAAUAUUGAA